AUGGCUGAUUGUGCCGUGGCCUGGGCCCCUCUGCUCCUCGUGGUGCUCGCCCACGGCUCAGGUUCCCUGGUCCAGGCAGCGGUGACUCAGCCAGCCUCGGUGUCCGUGUCCCCAGGAGAAACCGCCCGGAUCACCUGCUCUGGGGGUAGCAGCGGCUACUAUGGCAGCUACUACUAUGGCUGGAUCCAGCAGAAACCUGGUGGUGCCCUGGUCGCUGUGAUAUAUGGUUCCCUGGUCCAGGCAGCACUGACUCAGCCGGCCUCGGUGUCCGUGUCCCCGGGAGAAACCGCCCGGAUCACCUGCUCUGGGAGUGGCAGCUACUAUAGCUGGAUCCAGCAGAAACCUGGUGGUGCCCCGGUCAUUGUGAUAUACAACAACGACAAGAGACCCUCGAACAUCCCUGCACGAUUCUCCGCUUCCAAGUCCGGCUCCACAAACACGUUAACCAUCACUGGGGUGCAAGCCGAGGACGAGGCCAUGUAUUACUGUAGUGGUAGUUAUACUGGUGUCACGGUGCCCCUGAGCAAUGGGGAAGUGUGACACAAACCUCCCGCCAUCUCAGGGACCAUGGAAGAGUGUCUGGUGUCCCCGUGUGAUGGUUGCGCAGGUCCCCACCACAGCCCUCCUGCGCUGCCCGUGGCUGUGCCUGGCGUCCCGGCUCAGCCCUCCGUUAGGGCCCCAGCGCUGUGCCCUGUGGUCAGGCUGGGCCCGGCAGGGGCUACGUUUGUCCCCUGUUCCUGGGCGUCACUGCAGAGGGAUUUCAACUGGGCUGAAAUCUGAGUCCCAGCACCAAAAGGCGGGCACGUGCCCUCAACCGAGGGGUGAGCUAAGGCUUUGGGCCUUGCAUGCCUCAGAUGAAGAGUUUGGAGAGGAAAGAUGUGCUGGUGGGAAGCCCCAGGCAGCCGGGAGUGCUGAAGAAUUGCUGCCUGUAGGCUUGCAGCUCUGUGCCUUGGCACCCUCCCGCCGGUGCUGCCCCACGGGCCCGGCGAUGUCUCCCGGGGAGUGCCCGACCCCAUCCGAGGACGCUGGGCUGUAGAGCCCAAGGCUGCGGCAAUGGCCACAGGCUCCUCUUGCCCCCAGCCUGCGGCAGGACUGCAGAAGGGCCGGGGAGGUAGUGGGGGGAUUUUCCCGCUGCGUGUGGAGCACAGGGGCAGGAGGGCCUCGGUGCUGCCCCGUGCCGUGUCCCCAGGGCUGUCUGCAGCUGGCGCUGCCGUGGCCCCUGCGUGGUGAGCUUUGGUGAUGAGCGCGGGUCAGAUUUGCAUGGAGGGGCCGUGCCCCGAGUGGCAGGGGGUUUAAGAGGGAGUCGGGGGCCUGCAGGGGUCCGUGGCCAGCCUGGGUGUCCCCGGCUGGUCCUGCGGGCACGGG